GACUUCUGGUUUAAUGCACCUGGCCCGCGGCCCACAAGGCCUGUGAGUGCCGGCGCGCGUUUACCAUCCUUCCAGCAACGGCUACCCUUAACUGGGCGGCUGGAACUGGAUCUUUUACUUUGAAAAAAUUAGAGUGUUUAAAGCAGGCGUUUGCUCUGAAUACAUUAGCAUGGAAUAAUAAUCUAGGACUUCGGUUGGUCAAGACUAACUUAUGCGAAAGCAUUCACCAAGGAUGUCUUCUUCUGUCUCUUA
rnacentral:rRNA from 1 species